rnacentral:rRNA from 1 species
GACGGAACCUCACUGUCUCCUUUUCCUAAAUCUGAAUUUCACUAUCCCGUGAAGAGGCGGGAAUUUUAUCGUAAGACGAGAAGACCCUGUCGAGCUGCAGCAAAAUUUUGAGUAUUAUCUGCCUCCCUUAUCCCUAAUAAGUGAUGUUACAAGAAAGAUGGGGUAUAAUACAUCAAAACAAGCUUUGAUUGGGGCAAUCACGGAGGAAGAAGACCCUCCGUUACUAAAAGACACAUAGUUUAAUCAUAAGAACCAUCAUUCUAAACUCAUAAAAUGAAGGUAUGAUCCACUCACAGUGAUCAAAAGAAAAAGUUACCGCAGGGAUAACAGCGUUAUCUUUUCUGAGAGUUCAUAUUGACGAAAAGGUUUGCGACCUCGAUGUUGGAUCGGGACAUCCUAAGGGUGCAGAAGCUUUUAAGGGUUGGUCUGUUCGACCAUUAAAGUCCUACGUGAUCUGAGUUCAGACCGGA